rnacentral:rRNA from 1 species
GUUGAACGCUGGCGGCAGGCCUAACACAUGCAAGUCGAGCGGAUGAAGGGAGCUUGCUGCUGGAUGCAGCGUCGGACGGGUGCGUAAUGCCUAGGAAUCUGCCUGGUAGUGGUGGAUAACGUCCGGCAACGGGCGCUAAUACCGCAUACGUCCUGAGGGGGAAAGUGGGGGAUCUUCGGACGUCACGCUAUCAGAUGAGGCCAGGUCGGAUUAGCUAGUUGGUGGGUUAAAGGCCUACCAAGGCGACGAUCCGUAGCUGGUCGGACAGGAUGAUCAGUCACACGGGAACGGAGACACGGCCCAGACGACGACGGGAGGCAGCAGUAGGGAAGCUGCGGCAAUGGGCGAAAGUUGGACGGAGCAAGGCCGCGUGAGUGAGGAAGGCCUUCGGGUCGUAAAGCUCUGUGGCCAGGGAAGAACGGGUAGGGGAGUAACUGCCCUUGCCAUGACGGUACCUAAGAAGAAAGCCCCGGCUAACUACGUG